UUUUUUUUGUAUCUGAAAUGACAGUUUGGCUGGAUAUAAAAUUCAUUUUCCUCUGAAUUUAAAGGCAAGUUAGUCAAAAUAAAACCACUGUUGAUAAGUCUGCUACCAGUAUGAGUUUCCUCUGUUUGUAGGUUACUGGGUUUUCCUCUUUAGAAGCACUUAGGAGUUGUUUGUUACCCAUGUAAUGUACUUUCACAGCAAGGAUGUGUUGACAUCUGUCAAGUUAGGCAUUCAGUGAACUCUUUUAAACUAGGGACAUCCUUCAGUUUCAUUCUUGGGCUCAGGGAGAUUUUGAUUUUUCUUCUCUUGUGUUUGCUAUUGUUUGUUGUUGUGUUUUGCUUUGGGGGCUAUUGGGGAAUGAACCCAGGGCCUCGAGCACACUAAGUAAGCCCUCUACCACUGAGUUACGUCCCUAGCCCUCUGUGUUCUCUAUUCUUGAUCUCCUUUCUAGAAUUCAGAAAUGGAUCUCCUAUGAUCCUUUUCUCUCAUGUUAUCUUACAUUUUGAUUCCACCUGUGGAGAUAUUCUCUGUUUUAAUUUUCUAAACCUAUUUGCCAAAGCUAUUUCCUUCUAUAAUUUUCGUAACAUCUUGUUCUUAUUUUUGAUGUAAAACGUAUUAAAUAUAGGCAUUCAUUCUUGAAUCUCUAAAAAAUGUUUAGUUGCUCUUUGAGCUCUUUCUGUUUCUAAAAUUACCUCUGGUACUCUAGGAUCAUAUUUUCUCUUGAUCUGCUACUGACAUGUGUUUGGUAAUAGUUGGUUGUCCAUGUUCAAGAGUAGAAUAAUUAAAAAGCUGAUGGAGAUCCUUGUGACUCUAGGACCUACUGCCUGGCAGAUAGCACUUUAAGAUGACCAGGCAGGAACCAAACACAUCAGUGGGGACCACUGCCUGCCAGAAUGUGGAAGUCCUUCCUGGUGGUGGUCAUGUGGCUGCCACGGGUACAGCACUUACAGUGGGGAAGGAGCACGUUCAGCCCAUGGCUCUGUCCUGUCUAGUUUCUCUGAGUUGGCCCCCCUGGGACUCACCUGGACAGGUGGGCUCAUCCUCCUCCUACUUGCUCUUUCUCCUCAGCUGGAGUUACUUCUGACUCCACCUCUUCAUCAGGUGCCAAUCCUCCACUAUCCACAUUCUAAAGACAUGAUGGACCUUCUGAUGUGCUUGUGGGUCCCCCUCGUGUGCUUACUCAUUGCAAACAAAUUU
rnacentral:lncRNA from 1 species